rnacentral:lncRNA from 1 species
GGGGUGAAGCACGAGAGCAACAUCCUAAUCAAGUUUGGCAUCUUCCCCAUUCUUCUCCCUGCCCCUAGGGUGUGCAUCCUGCAUUCCUGGGGGCUCAGUACCCUUAUUCAGUGACUCCUCCCUCACUUGCUGCCACUGCUGUGUCUUUCCCCGUUCCUUCCAUGGCACCCAUCACAGUACAUCCCUACCACACAGAGCCAGGGCUUCCACUGCCCACCAGUGUGGCCUGUGAGUUGUGGGGCCAGGGAACAGGUGAAUGGAGGGGAGGCACACUGGGCAGGGGAGGUGGGGAGGGAAUGUUCUUUGUCUCUCUUUGGGCUCUGAGUUCCUCACAUGGCUCUCACCCCACUUAGUGAGCAGUGUCCAUCCAGCAUCCACGUUUCCAGCCAUCCAGGGUGCCUCACUGCCUGCCCUGACCACACAGCCCAGCCCUCUGGUGAGCGGAGGUUUUCCACCACCCGAGGAGGAGACACACAGUCAGCCAGUCAAUCCCCACAGCCUGCACCAUCUGCAUGCUGCCUACCGUGUCGGAAUGCUGGCACUGGAGAUGCUGGGUCGCCGGGCACACAAUGAUCACCCCAACAACUUCUCCCGCUCCCCCCCCUACACUGAUGAUGUCAAAUGGUUGCUGGGGCUGGCAGCAAAGCUGGGAGAUCGUCAUGGAGACGCUGCAGCGGCUGAGUCCCGCUCAUGCCCACAACCACCUGCGUGCCCCGGCCUUCCACCAACUGGUGCAGCGCUGCCAGCAGGCAUACAUGCAGUACAUCCACCACCGCUUGAUUCACCUGACUCCUGCGGACUACGACGACUUUGUGAAUGCGAUCCGGAGUGCCCGCAGCGCCUUCUGCCUGACGCCCAUGGGCAUGAUGCAGUUCAACGACAUCCUACAGAACCUCAAGCGCAGCAAACAGACCAAGGAGCUGUGGCAGCGGGUCUCACUCGAGAUGGCCACCUUCUCCCCCUGAGUCUUUCACCCUUAGGGUCCUAUACAGGGACCCAGGCCUGUGGCUAUGGGGGCCCCUCACACAGUGGGAGUGAAACUUGGCUGGACAGAUCAUCCUCACUCAGUUCCCUGGUAGCCCAGACUGACAGCUGCUCUUGGGCUGUAGCUUGGGGCCAAGAUGUCUCAGACCCUAGAAGCCUAGGGCUGGGGGAGACAGCC